rnacentral:tRNA from 1 species
GGCCAGGUAGCUCAGUUGGUAGAGCAACGGACUGAAAAUCCGUGUGCCGGGGUUCGACUCCCUCCCUGGCCA